GUCCCAGAGAAGAACAAACCAGGGAAGAGAGGCGGGUGGAAAAGAGGAGAGAGGAACAUGAUUAUCUCACAACAGAGCAAUGUUAUGGUUUCCAUGAGGAUCCUGUUACAUUUCCAAAGAAGGCAAUUGGAUUAAUUUCUUGUAUGUUCUACAGGACCCAUAAAAGGUGUCCAAAGACCCGAAAGAUAUUGACAAACUGGAGAGAAUCCAGAAAAGAGCAACAGAGAUGAGUAGAUACAUGUGAUUUAUGGGGAAAGCUCUGACUAGCUACAUUCCUAUUGCUUGGCUAGCUGAUGACUAAGGAUGGGGAUUGGGGAAAUGAGAGUAGUCUAAAAGUAUGUGAGGAAGAACAACUGCAGGGAAGAAAAGGAAUUCUUUAGGGUGGUGCAGGGGUGGGUACCAGUAGGCGCAAUGGGAUUAAAAUUCAGGC